rnacentral:rRNA from 1 species
AGUGAACGCUGGCGGUAGGCCUAACACAUGCAAGUCGAACGGCAGCACAGUAAGAGCUUGCUCUUACGGGUGGCGAGUGGCGGACGAGUGAGGAAUACAUCGGAAUCUACUUUUUCGUGGGGGAUAACGUAGGGAAACUUACGCUAAUACCGCAUACGACCUACGGGUGAAAGCAGGGGAUCUUCGGACCUUGCGCGAUUGAAUGAGCCGAUGUCGGAUUAGCUAGUUGGCGGGGUAAAGGCCCACCAAGGCGACGAUCCGUAGCUGGUCUGAGAGGAUGAUCAGCCACACUGGAACUGAGACACGGUCCAGACUCCUACGGGAGGCAGCAGUGGGGAAUAUUGGACAAUGGGCGCAAGCCUGAUCCAGCCAUACCGCGUGGGUGAAGAAGGCCUUCGGCUUGUAAAGCCCUUUUGUUGGGAAAGAAAAGCAGCAGGUUAAUACCCCGCUGUUCUGACGGUACCCAAAGAAUAAGCACCGGCUAACUUCGU